rnacentral:lncRNA from 1 species
GGGAGGCUAGGGAUAGCAAGCCGGUAAUUAAUAAUAGGCUCUUUUCACCCAGGGAUUGGGUUAAGGGUAGGCUAGAAAGUUUGCAUAGCAAUUGGAUAAACAAGUGAAGUAAAUAAGAAGAGUAGAUAUGUGAGAGUGGAUAAGAUGAAAUUGUAAACCCCAACAACACCAUUCAUCCAUAGUUUUUCCUCAACCAUUGAUUCACUGCAUUUGCAUGUUUAA